AGUGAACGCUGGCGGUAGGCCUAACACAUGCAAGUCGAACGGCAGCACAGUAAGAGCUUGCUCUUACGGGUGGUGAGUGGCGGACGGGUGAGGAAUACAUCGGAAUCUACUUUUUCGUGGGGGAUAACGUAGGGAAACUUACGCUAAUACCGCAUACGACCUACGGGUGAAAGCAGGGGAUCUUCGGACCUUGCGCGAUUGAAUGAGCCGAUGUCGGAUUAGCUAGUUGGCGGGGUAAAGGCCCACCUAGGCGACGAUCCGUAGCUGGUCUGAGAGGAUGAUCAGCCACACUGGAACUGAGACACGGUCCAGACUCCUACGGGAGGCAGCAGUGGGGAAUAUUGGACAAUGGGCGCAAGCCUGAUCCAGCCAUACCGCGUGGGUGAAGAAGGCCUUCGGGUUGUAAAGCCCUUUUGUUGGGAAAGAAAAGCAGCAGGUUAAUACCCCGCUGUUCUGACGGUACCCAAAGAAUAAGCACCGGCUAACUUCGUG
rnacentral:rRNA from 1 species